rnacentral:rRNA from 1 species
UACGUAGGGUGCAAGCGUUGUCCGGAAUUAUUGGGCGUAAAGAGCUCGUAGGCGGUUUGUUGCGUCGGCUGUGAAAUCCCGAGGCUCAACCUCGGGUCUGCAGUCGAUACGAGCAAACUAGAGUGUUGCAGGGGAGACUGGAAUUCCUGGUGUAGCGGUGAAAUGCGCAGAUAUCAGGAGGAACACCGGUGGCGAAGGCGGGUCUCUGGGCAGCAACUGACGCUCAUGCACGAAAGCGUGGGGAGCAAACAGG